AUCAAUAGAAGAACCAACAGAAAAAUAGGCAAAAGGAAGAUGCUUAAUUUGGUUAAAGAACUUCCACGCUGAGUAUUCUACAUAAUAAGGAUUGAUCUUUCCUCCUUUUUCUUUCUUUCUUUCUCUCUUCUU
rnacentral:ribozyme from 13 species